rnacentral:rRNA from 1 species
GAUGAACGCUGGCGGCGUGCCUAAUACAUGCAAGUCGAGCGAACAGACGAGGAGCUUGCUCCUCUGACGUUAGCGGCGGACGGGUGAGUAACACGUGGAUAACCUACCUAUAAGACUGGGAUAACUUCGGGAAACCGGAGCUAAUACCGGAUAAUAUAUUGAACCGCAUGGUUCAAUAGUGAAAGACGGCUUUGCUGUCACUUAUAGAUGGAUCCGCGCCGCAUUAGCUAGUUGGUAAGGUAACGGCUUACCAAGGCAACGAUGCGUAGCCGACCUGAGAGGGUGAUCGGCCACACUGGAACUGAGACACGGUCCAGACUCCUACGGGAGGCAGCAGUGGGGAAUCUUCCGCAAUGGGCGAAAGCCUGACGGAGCAACGCCGCGUGAGUGAUGAAGGUCUUCGGAUCGUAAAGCUCUGUUAUUAGGGAAGAACAAAUGUGUAAGUAACUAUGCACGUCUUGACGGUACCUAAUCAGAAAGCCACGGCUAACUACGUG